rnacentral:rRNA from 1 species
AUUGAACGCUGGCGGCAUGCUUUACACAUGCAAGUCGAACGGUAACAGGUUAAGCUGACGAGUGGCGAACGGGUGAGUAAUGCAUCGGAACGUGCCCGGUCGUGGGGGAUAACACUUCGAAAGAAGUGCUAAUACCGCAUACGAUCUGAGGAUGAAAGCGGGGGACCGUAAGGCCUCGCGCGAUCGGAGCGGCCGAUGUCAGAUUAGGUAGUUGGUGGGGUAAAGGCCCACCAAGCCAACGAUCUGUAGCUGGUCUGAGAGGACGACCAGCCACACUGGGACUGAGACACGGCCCAGACUCAUACGGGAGGCAGCAGUGGGGAAUUUUGGACAAUGGGCGCAAGCCUGAUCCAGCAAUGCCGCGUGCAGGAAGAAGGCCUUCGGGUUGUAAACUGCUUUUGUACGGAGCGAAAAGGCUCUCUCUAAUACAGGGGGCUGAUGACGGUACCGUAAGAAUAAGCACCGGCUAACUACGUGCCAGCAGCCGCCGUAA